UUUAUUUCAAAAUUUGAAUGUUUCUGAGAAGUUUAUUUUGCGUUGAUCAUUUUGGUGCAUUCAUUUUAAUUUUUUGAACACUUUUACGUCUAAUUUUUAUUCUUUUUUAUUUGUUUAUUUUUGAACUUUAACAAAAAUAUUCGUAAUAAUUAAAUAUAAUUUUCUAUAUUUUUUGAUCUAAUUUCGAUUAUUUAUAAUAGUUUGAGUUUUAUUUUGAUUUAGUCCUUUUGAAACUUUUUUUUAUCUACUGAAACAUAACAAAAUCUUUUAUUUUACUAUUAAGAUAUUUAAUUUUUAAAAUUUAUUACCAAUAUUAAAUAUUUUGUUUAAUAGUAAUGUUUUGCUAGUUUAUUUAUUUAAAAAAAAAAAAGAAAGAAAGAAAAGAGGAACAGAAGAAAUUAUGAGAUUCUUCACGUGAACCUCUUCCAAAAAAUCUCUCACAUCAUAU
rnacentral:lncRNA from 1 species